UGGGGAAUAUUGCACAAUGGGCGCAAGCCUGAUGCAGCCAUGCCGCGUGUGUGAAGAAGGCCUUCGGGUUGUAAAGCACUUUCAGCGGGGAGGAAGGCGUUAAGGUUAAUAACCUUGGCGAUUGACGUUACCCGCAGAAGAAGCACCGGCUAACUCCGUGCCAGCAGCCGCGGUAAUACGGAGGGUGCAAGCGUUAAUCGGAAUUACUGGGCGUAAAGCGCACGCAGGCGGUUUGUUAAGUCAGAUGUGAAAUCCUCGGGCUCAACCUGGGAACUGCAUCUGAUACUGGCAAGCUUGAGUCUCGUAGAGGGGGGUAGGAUUCCAGGUGUAGCGGUGAAAUGCGUAGAGAUCUGGAGGAAUACCGGUGGCGAAGGCGGCCCCCUGGACGAAGACUGACGCUCAGGUGCGAAAGCGUGGGGAGCAAACAGG
rnacentral:rRNA from 1 species